rnacentral:rRNA from 1 species
UACGAAGGGGGCUAGCGUUGCUCGGAAUCACUGGGCGUAAAGGGUGCGUAGGCGGGUUUUUAAGUCAGGGGUGAAAUCCUGGAGCUCAACUCCAGAACUGCCUUUGAUACUGGAGAGCUUGAGUCCGGAAGAGGUGAGUGGAACUCCGAGUGUAGAGGUGAAAUUCGUAGAUAUUCGGAAGAACACCAGUGGCGAAGGCGGCUCACUGGUCCGGUACUGACGCUGAUGUGCGAAAGCGUGGGGAGCAAACAGG